GGAAUAAAAUUCCUCUUGAGGAUUUCCUAGUCUAGAUGCCUUAUUCGGACUUGCUUAAACACAUGAUUUUGUAGAACGUACUCGACUUAGUACGCUAGUUCGAGAUGGAAGUGAUCGUACUCAAAGUCGGAACUUAUAGUCACCCUUCAGAUUAUUUCUGGAUUGCCCUUUCAAUCAUUCCCUCGAAUUACAUAGAAUCUAGGUUUGAAUGUUAUAACCCACAAUCCUAUUCCCCUAUUUUUUCUAUAGUUGUCCUGCAAGAUUGAUGCCCUAUUGCAUAAAAGUUCAUGCCCCAAUUAAAGUGCUACGUUCUUCUACGUGUCAAUGGUUCAUGGGAGUGUACCUUUGACAUUUGUCGCAAGUCUGGGCAUACUCUAUGGUGUAUUGUCGCAUGGUGGGCCAAUAGUACCUGCCUGUCAGUGCCUUCUGUGCGAGCGAUCUUCUUAUGGUGUGGUUACUGCAUACACCGGAGUGUCAUUGAGAAUUUGCAAAUCCAUCUCCGGAGUAAUGCGCAAUGGUAUGAGGUCUGGAGUAGGAACUUUGGUAAAGCUUUCCACAGAUGAUGGUGUAUCUUGAGGCCUAUUAGACCAAUUUCUGGCCAAAUGGCGAUCUUUAAGUAGCUUCCCAUCUUGAAUGUAGUCAGUGUAAAAAGCAUCACCAAAAUCUAAGCAAGCAUGUCUAUAUGUAAGACAUAAGUCAAAAUGCAUGUAAGUUAAGAUGAGUUUUGCAAAAUAGGUGUGAUCAAUAUUCGAACUGAAAAUUUGAGUAACAACUAUUCUAAUUCCACUAAAUCAACCUAAGACUGAUGUAAAUUGUGCAGUGCCACAAUUGGCAUAAGGAAAUACAAUUUAAAAUGAAAAGGAAGAUAUCAUAAGGAACAUGUUCAAUUGUGUCCAACAACUGCAAAACUAUAAUAAAAAAGAUAAACAAAUUCUGGUGUGUUCUUUGUGAUCUUGUUGAAAAGCUUCCAUCAUCUUUAAAAUUGUUGACGGUCUAAGUAGAGAUAUAUGAUUGAAAGGAACGACACAAUGUUGACAAAAAAGAAAAACAAAAAUGCGCCUCAAUGCACCACCCAACUUCUCUCAAACCCAAAUUAGCAGCACUAGCCAUCAAACUUUUGCCCACAACCACGUGAUCUAAAACGUUGACGGGCAUCAGUCAUCUGCACACUGAAGCGGGCCACCCUCAUCAACCACCCAGAAAAGCCCAAAACAAAGGCAUGGCCGACCCAAACGCACAAACCCAAGCCCUAACCAUUUUUAAAUUUUAGAAAAGAUCGCAAUUCCGUAAAUAAAUUCAAAUCCCAAAUCGAACUUGCACUGUAACCAAGUCACAAUGCCACCCAUAUCCAACAAAAAAAAUACUUUGGAAGUUCAAUCUUUAGACCACAUGCAUAGGAUUGAAGAGAAAAGAACACAUUUGACGAACAAAAACAUGCCCACAGGUAAAAACAUGCCCUUCAAUCUAAUCAAACAAGGACCAUACGAGUCUAUAACCUAACACUGAUGCGAAGCAUAAUGCACACACAAAAAAUGUAAAGGAUGCAAUCAAUAAACCAAUUCUCAAAAGCACGAACAGAUAAACCACUGAAUAAUCAGCAUUUCAUCUCAACAAAGAUGCCAAUUUUGAGUUCACAGACUACCAACCCAGCCAAAACAAAAACCCAGUUCUGUAAAACCACCAAACAGAAAAAAGCUCGUUCAUUUUCCACCAAAGAAGCCGACCCAGAAACCAAAACCCCACGAAUAAAAAGCCUUUUAGCUCAAAUCAAAGAUCACUAGAAGUAAACCACUGCAUGCCACUCAAAAUAUACAAAGACGAAAACGAAAAACAAAAACAACUUAUUUGUUGGAAAUGAAAAUUAAAAAAUAACCGUGACAGAACCUUAAAUUGAAUGAAUAGGCCAAGCAAAUUCUCUUUCCUCGAUUCGGUCAAAGACAUGGAAAACGCACAGGGUAGCAGAACCGAACCAGGGAGAAUAAAAUAACAACAGGCAAGUCUCUAAAGCAGCAAAGAAAGAGAACACAAUAACACUCUUUAAAUACCUCAAUUCAUUAAAAACCCACAUAAACUUGGCCUUGAACUUAAACGAACAGCAAAAAGUAGAUUAUACUACCUUGUAUCUUGGUGGGAAUCUAGGAUAAGAUAUUCAAUCCUCCUAAGAUUAUGAUUACUUGCCUAAUCCCAAAGAUAUCCUAAUUGACUUGAACUAGAUGUUUCUCACUUAGGAGACAAGUAAUACAGGUACCAGACCUAAAGCUAAAUUGGAUCUUCAGACUAAGGCUAAGCCUGAUCGUUUGACAGUCAUGAGAAACGAGUAUUCCAGUUCUUCUUGCCACCUGAGAUGCCACGUGCCAGGGACAUAGAAAUCAUGCUCCCACAACAUAUUUGAGGAUCAAUUAAACUAAUUUUGAUACUCCUUCCAAACUUAACCAUUCUUUAUUCGGAUCACUAUGUUAAUCCAUGUAAAAACCUAUUAUAUUUCAAUCGAAAUUCUACACAAGUAUGGUUAUACCUACACUAUGAAACAUACUUUAUGAUUCUACCUAAGUAUUAUUGUAACUGCUCUAUAUUUCAAACAUAUAAUAUACCUAAACUAAUGUACCUAAUAAGCAAAUAUUGUACCAACACUAUGGCACCAAGAUUAAUGAAUGUACCUACACUAUGGCACUUAGACUAAUAAAUGUACCCACACUACGGCCCCAAGACUAAUGAAUAUUAUAUAUCUAUGUUGAUGCACAAAACUGGAGGGGUCUUGGAACAACGUAAAUCCGACCGUGAAUCUGCAAGAAAGUAAAGAACACAAGAUGUAUCGUGGUUCACCCCAAUGUUUGGGCUACGUCCACACUAAUGUUGAUAUUGUUUCACUCUGAAUGGUGAAUAUACAAGAAGGCUAGAGGCAGUGUGCUCUCUAGCCUAUUUUCUCUCUUCCCAUGGCCUAAAUCUUGACCUC
rnacentral:lncRNA from 1 species